rnacentral:rRNA from 1 species
CCUACGGGGGGCUGCAGUGGGGAAUAUUGGACAAUGGGCGAAAGCCUGAUCCAGCCAUGCCGCGUGUGUGAAGAAGGCCUUCGGGUUGUAAAGCACUUUCAGUGGGGAAGAAAGCCUUGGGGCUAAUACCCUCGAGGAAGGACAUCACCCACAGAAGAAGCACCGGCUAACUCCGUGCCAGCAGCCGCGGUAAUACGGAGGGUGCGAGCGUUAAUCGGAAUUACUGGGCGUAAAGCGCGCGUAGGCGGUCUGAUAAGCCGGUUGUGAAAGCCCCGGGCUCAACCUGGGAACGGCAUCCGGAACUGUCAGGCUAGAGUGCAGGAGAGGAAGGUAGAAUUCCCGGUGUAGCGGUGAAAUGCGUAGAUAUCGGGAGGAAUACCAGUGGCGAAGGCGGCCUUCUGGACUUACACUGACGCUGAGGUGCGAAAGCGUGGGUAGCAAACAGGAUUAGAUACCCUAGUAGUC